AUGAGCCUUCUUGAUCACUUGUGGGAUGACACCGUCGCCGGACCUUUGCCGGAGAACGGUCUCGGCAAGCUCCGAAAACAACCUUCCUUCCUUUCCCGAUCUAUCUCCGACAAGGAAUCAGAGGGUGGAAACGUGAGAUCCUACGGUGGGGAUUCGCUCCGGCGUCCCCCGCCGGUUCUACUCCUCCACUUUCUCCGUUUUCCGGAGCUAGAGAGCCGUUUCGUUUUCGAAGAAGGUCAAUAUCAGAUGCGUACGAGAGCGAGGUCAAGACAGGCCAAAACAGAUCAAGCUCUUCUUCUCCUUUCGAUGUGUGAUAAAUGA
rnacentral:lncRNA from 1 species